AGUUAUAACAUUUCAAAGCAUUUAACAAUCCGUUGUAGUCUAGUUGGUCAGGAUACUCGGCUCUCACCCGAGAGACCCGGGUUCAAGUCCCGGCAACGGAAUUUUUAUUUUUAUUUUAUAGGUUUCUAUGUUAUUUUUAUAUUUUGUUACAAAUAGGUUUUCUUCUUUUUCGACGUCUCAAUAUACUGAGGGUGUUGUUUUAGAUGACGUGUCAGUUUAUACAUAAUUCUCACAUGUAUUUUGUAAUUUUUAAAUUGAAGGUAAAUUGGGAAAAAGAAAUUAAAGGAUGCUCCUUUCUCUGAUUUCAAUUGCAGAGAACAAUUUGAUUUUGAGGUGUUCGCGUUUUUGUUCGUCGCGAUUUGGGUUGUUCCGCUGAUGGCUUGCGAUUUCGAUAACCUUUCCGGCGCGGUGGUAUUUCACGAUUAGGGUUUGUGCGGAGGAGUUUUGGGGCUCGCGAUGGUGUUGUUUUUGUUUUGUGGUGGUGCGACUCUGGUGUAGAGAUCUGGUUCGCGUUGUGAUGGAGCCUUCAUGCGUGGCUCACGAGGUGGUUCAAUGAGGAUGAUGCGAGCGCACAAUGGUUUUUCCAGUGUUGGUGGCUGUUGCGAGAUGCAUUGGAGGUGAACGGAGGACCGACGAGGUUUUUGAUGCGAUGAUGGAGGAGAUGAUGUCGCUAACUGAUGGUUGUAGCGAAGCUCGCAAGGAAGAAGAAAGGGAUCUGGGAUUUAGGAUUACAUGGCAAUUGGGAUUUUCUGAUUUUUAGGUUUGCAGGUGAUGAAGAUGAAUGUGCGGCGACCAUGGAGGUUGGCGACAACGACUUGUGGUCCGAUGAGGAUGAUGGUGGCGGAACAACGUGGCUGACGGCGGCAUUGGCUAGGUUAGGGAAUUAAGGUUUGGCGACAGCCUGUUAUAGGAUAUUAUUAGUAGUCAACUGAUCGGCGGAAUGUAGGAAGACGUCGAGUAGUGAGGGAGAAAAAGAAGGGAACCGAACGACUGAAGGUGGCGAGGCUACCGAGCGAGGCCGAGCAAUGAAGAAGAAGGAGGACACCCAACGGCUGAAGCACGGGAGCCGAUCGGUUGAAGAUUUUCCAAUUUAAUUUGAUUUUCCAAUUCAACACUUAAUUUAAUUUGAUUUUCCAAUUUUGCCCUUACUUAAAUUAUAUUUCCACUGUGUA